GAGCUUUUGCAGCAUUCUAUCAAUCCUAUCAAAGCAAUACAUUUAUUUAUUUAUCAGAGCAUGUCCAGGCCUGCAAAAACCGGGGAGGGGGGGAAGCUAUGGAGAGACACCCCCACCUCCUCCAUCCACCAUCUCCCAUCCAAGCAUCCACCUAAAAAAGCCACUGUCUGUCAAUCACAUUCAUUUCAAAAUCCCCCUCAACCUUUUUUCCUUUCUCCACCCCGCCCACCCCCACGACACGCACACACCGCGUCCAUUGCUGUUGAUAAUGUUAUUACUAUGCAACUGUUUGGAUGACAAUGCAUCCGUGGAGUGUGAAGCCAAUGGCGACAAUUUGUUUACCCGGUGACCCCCAUGCAUGCAUGCACAUUGUCUGGCUCCCCUUUGCGUUCUUACCUUGCUUUGGCCGAUCUCUCGUAACUCCAUCCUGCUCCAGCGCCCAAAUCGCCGAACCCUGUUCCCGGGUAAUUUCUAUCCAUCUAUGUGGGGUACAACCGUGUGCGAUGCGGGGAGUGAACGCGUCGUCGCGAGGGGAGGACAACCCAGUAUUUCCCGUGUGCUCGGUUUCAGGCUAUUUUCCCCAGUUUCAUAAGCAAGUCCUCAGGAGUGGAAAACAGCAUAUUGAAAGAGAAAUGGAGGGGAGGAGGAGAAAGCUGGAUGAAAAAAGAGGGGGGUUUACAGGGUUAUAAUCCAAGCACCUCGAUAAAACACACUCUUCCUCAUGUUCCUCCUUUUUUAUCAUUCCCACGAAGGUAGUCCAAAUCCAGUACGGUUCAUGGUGAAGAUGUCUCGGAUUUGGCCGCCAAUGCCUGAAUUGCUGAUAAACAUUUGAUUUUGAACGCGUCCCCUUUUUUCUCCUCUCCUCUCUUUUGGUGCCUCCUCCCCUUUCUUUAAGGCUAGUUUUGGCUACGCUGCUAGCGCCGAGAAAAUAUUGCAACGCACAGAGACGGCCAAGCGAUUCUCCCAACACACACACGCAUACACACACAUACAUACAUACACACCCCCGGCGGAGAAAUCCCUAAUUUACAAGUUUGUCCUUUGCAUGUAAAUAGCGAGCGCCAUUACCACUGCUAACACCCCUCCUCCUCUUUUAGCAUGCUAGCAGCAGAUGCUAGCUGUCAGCAACGACGCAUACAAAUAAAAGCGCCUCUAUUUCACUCGGUUUCCAGUGUUUAGGCCUUCUUAUUGUAUUCAAAUGAAACAUUCACACACAAAAACCGCGACAAGACUGAUAAAAAUCAUCCUAAAGAAAGCAGGCCGCGUUUUUUUGUCAUAUGUAUCUUUACUCAUUUUGAUCCAGAGACGCCAUUUUUGAAGGCGGCUGUUAGUACUCCUCUCUUCUUAGGGUUUCUCUCCUCGGCUCAGUGUCCGCGCUGACCUCCCCUAAGCUACCCGGCUCCUCUGCUAACCAGCCCGGCGUGCUUUUCCACAUUUCCCCCCACAUUGUUAAGCUAAAUAAACAUACACGGAAACUCAACAAGCCGUGACGUUGUUGUAAUACCGCAAAUGGGGAAAAUCUGUGCUAAUUCACAACUUAAUGUUUAAAAACCACCCACAGCCAACAUCACGCGUGUCUGUUUUAUUACACAUAGUCACAGCUCAAUUUUUACACAUAUCAAAGUGUACAUAUAACUCAAGAGUUCAUGUGGUAUUUCUUUUACAGUAUGUAGACAGCCAGUGUCUGUCUAGAAGACUCCAAUUGCAGUACACAUGUGCACCAAGUAGAUGGCACACUGGAAAACCACGACAAAGGACCACACCUCCGACAGAAACUGCAGCUGUUCUGUCAACAUGCCAGACUGUGAUGAAGCCCUGCCGGCACCCUGCCAGCUUAUCAAAGACAAUGUUGGCACGUGUAUCAGAGAGAAGGGAGUAAAGGAGUGCAGAGACCUCAUAGACGCCUUCCAGACCUGCGCAAAGACCCUGUCUGAAGGAUCAUGACACAUUCAGCAACAUCAGCAAUAUAUAGAAUAUACCCUACUCAACUGUGCUUACCAUCCCAGGACUGUCACUGGACUGAACCAUCUGGCUAAACUUGCUAAAACAUCUUCAUUUUCAAUUGAGAGGUGUGAAAAAAUAAUAUAGUUGGAUGAUAAAUGUAUUUUUGGAAGAAUUAUAUGCUUUACCAAGUUCAAGUUGUAUUAUUCUAAAAUCUAAAUAUAUAAGUACACACAAGGUCACAUGGUUCCAUGGGGUUAAUGCAUAAGCUAUCAUAAAGCGUUGUAUUGCUGGAGAAAAUAGUCUUCCAUUUCUAUUUUAUCAUAAGCACAAAUGUGAGAGAAAUUGUACUGGCUGCAUGCAAGAGAAUCACCCAGCUUGGCAUAGUUGAAGCUAGGCUUUGGGGAAUUAUCCACCCACGCAAAACAUUUCAGAUUGAGAUCUUAGGAAGCUUUUCACUUUGCAGAUGAUUCAUCAAAUGUCCUUUUUUUUACCAGAAAACCUCUAUGACUUUGGGAUUGUUUCACUCUACAUGUAUGUAACUGAUUCUCUCAAUUGUAUUGUAAUACCAUGUGAUAUAUGCUUUGCUGAUGUAGCAAUAAUGAUAAAGCCCAGA